rnacentral:rRNA from 1 species
UACGUAGGGUGCAAGCGUUAAUCGGAAUUACUGGGCGUAAAGCGUGCGCCGGCGGCUUUGCAAGACAGAUGUGAAAUCCCCGGGCUUAACCUGGGAACUGCGUCUGAUACUGGAUGGCUUGAGUUUGGGAGAGGGAUGCGGAAUUCCAGGUGUAGCGGUGAAAUGCGUAGAUAUCUGGAGGAACACCGGUGGCGAAGGCGGCAUCCUGGACCAACACUGACACUGAGGAGCGAAAGCCAGGGGAGCAAACGGG